GCGCGGCGCCCUGUCCCCCAGCCGGAGGUGCAGUGCUGCAUCUCUGGUCAGCUGGGAGUCUGAGAUGAAGCACUGUAGCUCGGGAAGGGAGAAGCUGCUCUGCUGC
rnacentral:pre_miRNA from 9 species